UACGUAGGGGGCAAGCGUUGUCCGGAUUUAUUGGGCGUAAAGAGCGUGUAGGCGGCCAGAUAGGUCAGCUGUGAAAACUCGAGGCUCAACCUCGAGAUGUCGGCUGAAACCAUCUGGCUAGAGUCCGGAAGAGGAGAAUGGAAUUCCCGGUGUAGCGGUGAAAUGCGCAGAUAUCGGGAAGAACACCAAUGGCGAAGGCAGCUCGCUGGGACGUGACUGACGCUGAGACGCGAAAGCGUGGGGAGCAAACAGG
rnacentral:rRNA from 1 species